GAUGCGGUGAUUGAAUAGUGAAUGAGACAAUCGGAAAGAUGAGAAAAACGAUGUGGGAAAAAUCUAAAAAUACACUUGAGGUAGUGUCACUCCACCAACAUAUGAGAUUCCGAUGUGUGCAGUUACUUAAUUUGACAAUUAGCGAAGUGAAUAUCAUCAUUUCGGAGUACGAGAAUCGAAGUGCAUCCUCAAGAGCAGAGGGGCUGUACUGACAGCUAGAAAAUUGGAUUCGAUCUAGAGAAGAGCCUUAUCAUACUUGGUUGUUUAUUGUAAUGAAUACUGGAAGAGUUGAUCACUGCUAUUCGUUACAUUCUUCCAGGUUGAACUGUAUUUGUCCCAGGGGACAAUGCGAAGCCGGAACAACAAAGUCCUUGUAAUAUGUGUCAGAUGUUAUUAUGACAUCUCUAU
rnacentral:misc_RNA from 1 species